AGUCCGUGAUGUGGGCAAUCUCUCCACAUUACCUUAAAUCUAUCCUAAGUUUCAUAGACAGAUUCAGAGUCUGUUUGCUUGAAGCUUGCAAUAAGAUUGCAGAGGUA